rnacentral:rRNA from 1 species
GAUGAACGCUAGCUACAGGCUUAACACAUGCAAGUCGAGGGGUAACGAGAGGAAAGCUUGCUUUCCUUGUCGACGACCGGCGCACGGGUGAGUAACGCGUAUCCAACCUGCCCCCAACUAGGGAAUAACCUUGCGAAAGUAAGACUAUUACCCUAUAAUUUCCUCAGAUGUCAUCUGACGAGGAAUAAAGAUUUAUCGGUUGUGGAUGGGGAUGCGUCUGAUUAGCUUGUUGGCGGGGUAACGGCCCACCAAGGCAACGAUCAGUAGGGGUUCUGAGAGGAAGGUCCCCCACAUUGGAACUGAGACACGGGCCAAACUCCUACGGGAGGCAGCAGUGAGGAAUAUUGGUCAAUGGGCGGAAGCCUGAACCAGCCAAGUAGCGUGCAGGAUGACGGCCCUAUGGGUUGUAAACUGCUUUUAUACAGGAAUAAAGUUAGCCACGUGUGGUUAUUUGUAGGUACUGUAUGAAUAAGGACCGGCUAAUUCCGUGCCAGCAGCCGCCGCAG